AGCGAACGCUGGCGGCAGGCUUAACACAUGCAAGUCGAGCGGGCACUUUCGGGUGUCAGCGGCGGACGGGUGCGUAACGCGUGGGAACGUGCCCUCUGGUUCGGAAUAACUCAGGGAAACUUGAGCUAAUACCGGAUACGCCCUUUUGGGGAAAGGCUUGCUGCCGGAGGAUCGGCCCGCGUCUGAUUAGCUAGUUGGUGAGGUAACGGCUCACCAAGGCGACGAUCAGUAGCUGGUCUGAGAGGAUGAUCAGCCACACUGGGACUGAGACACGGCCCAGACUCCUACGGGAGGCAGCAGUGGGGAAUAUUGGACAAUGGGCGCAAGCCUGAUCCAGCCAUGCCGCGUGAGUGAUGAAGGCCUUAGGGUUGUAAAGCUCUUUUAUCCGGGACGAUAAUGACGGUACCGGAGGAAUAAGCCCCGGCUAACUUCGUG
rnacentral:rRNA from 1 species